rnacentral:rRNA from 1 species
GACAGAGGCCCCGAGCGUUAAUCGGAAUUACUGGGCUUAAAGGGUGCGUAGGCGGAUUGGUAAGUGUCGCGUGAAAGCCCACGGCUCAACCGUGGAACGGCGCGGCAAACUGCCUGUCUUGAGGAAUCUAGAGGCCGGUGGAACGAUUGGUGGAGCGGUGGAAUGCGUAGAUAUCAAUCGGAACGCCCAAGGUGAAGACAGCCGGCUGGGGAUUUCCUGACGCUGAGGCACGAAAGCGUGGGGAGCAAACAGG